rnacentral:rRNA from 1 species
CGCAUCUGUGCAUGCAGCAUAUCAAUAAGCGGAGGAAAAGAAACUAACAAGGAUUCCCCUAGUAACGGCGAGUGAAGCGGGAAGAGCUCAAAUUUGAAAUCUUAAAGGGUUUCCCUUUACGAAUUGUAGUUUAAAGAAGUGUUUUCUGUUGAGGUUUUGGUAAAAGUUCUUUGGAAUAGGACAUCAUAGAGGGUGAGAAUCCCGUAUUUGAUCCUUACUUUUCAGCUUUGUGAUACACUUUCAAAGAGUCGGAUUGUUUGGGAAUGCAGUCCAAAAUGGGUGGUAAAUUUCAUCUAAAGCUAAAUAUUGGCGAGGAGACCGAUAGCGAACAAGUACCGUGAGGGAAAGAUGAAAAGGAACUUUGAAAAGAGAGUUAAACAGUACGUGAAAUUGUCAAAAGGGAAGCGUUUGACACCAGUGUUGUUUUUCUGAAAAUCAAUUAAAAAUGGCUCGAUUUUGUAUUGCUGAGACCUUCAAAAGCUCACUGUACAUUUUUCGUGUCUUUUUUAAUGCACUUUUCGUUUAACAAGUCAACAUCAGUUUCUUUUGUUGUAAAAGGGUCAUUGGAAGGUGGCUUUCUUUUCGGAGAAAGUGUUUAUAGCCUUUGGCCUCUGCAAUCGAAGAGACUGAGGUCUGCAGCGUAGACUCUUCGGGGUUAGAUACAUUUGUGCUAAGUUAUAGCUUUUUAUAGACAACUUGUUGACUAUAAUUAGUCUUGUAGCUUACUCGCUUAUGCUAUUUUACCUACGCUUAGGAUGUUGAUAGUCACAGCGUGUAC